GUUGGCUGACAUGAUCAUCACCGAUAAUGUUUCUUCUGUAUAUUUAAUGUUUAGAUAUAUAUUUUCUAUAACGGGAUGUACAUUGCCUUAAUAGAUUUGUGACAAAUUUGAUUUUAUAAUGCUUUAUCGAACCACGGGUUCUCACAGCGGUAGUAAGACUACAGUCAUUAGUGGAGCAUACACUGUUGAAUCUUUCAUAGUACAUGAACUUCACCUUGUU
rnacentral:lncRNA from 1 species